rnacentral:rRNA from 1 species
UGGGCAACCUGCCCCGAAGACCGGGACAACCCGAGGAAACUCGAGCUAAUACCGGAUGUGGUCGCUUUUCAUAAGGAGAGCGAGCAAAGGGAGCUUCGGCCCCCGCUUCGGGAUGGGCCCGCGGCCCAUUAGCUUGUUGGUGAGGUAACGGCUCACCAAGGCUUCGAUGGGUAGCUGGUCUGAGAGGACGAUCAGCCACACUGGGACUGAGACACGGCCCAGACUCCUACGGGAGCAGCAG